CCGGAGCUAAUACCGGAUACUAUGUCAAACCGCAUGGUUUGACAUUCAAAGACGGUUUCGGCUGUCACUUACAGAUGGGCCCGCGGCGCAUUAGCUAGUUGGUGAGGUAAUGGCUCACCAAGGCGACGAUGCGUAGCCGACCUGAGAGGGUGAUCGGCCACACUGGGACUGAGACACGGCCCAGACUCCUACGGGAGGCAGCAGUAGGGAAUCUUCCGCAAUGGACGAAAGUCUGACGGAGCAACGCCGCGUGAGUGAUGAAGGUUUUCGGAUCGUAAAACUCUGUUGUCAGGGAAGAACAAGUGCCGGAGUAACUGCCGGCACCUUGACGGUACCUGACCAGAAAGCCACGGCUAACUACGUGCCAGCAGCCGCGGUAAUACGUAGGUGGCAAGCGUUGUCCGGAAUUAUUGGGCGUAAAGCGCGCGCAGGCGGUUUCUUAAGUCUGAUGUGAAAGCCCCCGGCUCAACCGGGGAGGGUCAUUGGAAACUGGGAAACUUGAGUGCAGAAGAGGAGAGUGGAAUUCCACGUGUAGCGGUGAAAUGCGUAGAGAUGUGGAGGAACACCAGUGGCGAAGGCGACUCUCUGGUCUGUAACUGACGCUGAGGCGCGAAAGCGUGGGGAGCGAACAGGAUUAGAUACCCUGGUAGUCCACGCCGUAAACGAUGAGUGCUAAGUGUUAGAGGGUUUCCGCCCUUUAGUGCUGCAGCUAACGCAUUAAGCACUCCGCCCUGGGGAGUACGGUCGCAAGACUGAAACUCAAGAAUUUGACGGGGGCCCGCACAAGCGGUGGGAGGCAUGGUGGGUUUUAAUUUCCGAAAGGCC
rnacentral:rRNA from 1 species